rnacentral:piRNA from 1 species
AUUGUUGAAAAUGCUGUCUUUGUUCC